AAAUAAUAUUACUAUUACAUAAAAUAAUAUUUUUAUUACAUAAAAUAACACCAAAAGUAAUAAUAAUAAUAAUAAUAACCCACAAUGAGCCCAAUAUUUUACAAACAGUAUCUUUCCAAAAGUAGGCGUAAAGACCGGUUUUAGUAAUAAGGUUUAGUGAUUUAAAAUGAAGAGGUAAUCUAUUUCAUGAUUUUAUGCAUUGGUUUGUGAAUUAUUAUUUACGUACAUAACUAAGUAAUGAUUAAGAAUAUAUAAUUUAAGGUUACUAAACAACGGAAGAUAAUAACAAGAACUUUUUAUAGCAGUAAAGAAGUAAUAGAUUGAGGGAGGGAGGUUAACUUGUGCCUGAUUCCAGACAAAUAGACAAUUUAAUAGAUGAACAAGAGCACACAAUUUGAUGAUUUUGGAUAGAAGAAAAGCAUAUUGCUGAUUUAAUAGUUUUAUUGUUCUAAUUGGUCAUAUGGUUCAUUCUUAUCAAAGUUACACAUGCUAGAAGAUCGUGUUAUUCGAUUUAUAAAAAAAUAGUCUUCUUAAAUCACACAAUCAAAACCCUAAUAAACAGAAAGCUUAAACUAACCUUGAGAAAAAGAAUAUAUUGCAAUAAAAAUUUUUAAAAAAGAAAGUCUAUAUAAUGUAAAAAUUUAUAUGUAAGAGAUUAAAUAUUAUACAAAAAAAAAAAAAAAAA